rnacentral:rRNA from 2 species
UGAUGUUCUAACGUGGACCCGUAAUCCGGGUUGCGGACAGUGUCUGGUGGGUAGUUUGACUGGGGCGGUCUCCUCCUAAAGAGUAACGGAGGAGCACGAAGGUUGGCUAAUCCUGGUCGGACAUCAGGAGGUUAGUGCAAUGGCAUAAGCCAGCUUGACUGCGAGCGUGACGGCGCGAGCAGGUGCGAAAGCAGGUCAUAGUGAUCCGGUGGUUCUGAAUGGAAGGGCCAUCGCUCAACGGAUAAAAGGUACUCCGGGGAUAACAGGCUGAUACCGCCCAAGAGUUCAUAUCGACGGCGGUGUUUGGCACCUCGAUGUCGGCUCAUCACAUCCUGGGGCUGAAGUAGGUCCCAAGGGUAUGGCUGUUCGCCAUUUAAAGUGGUACGCGAGCUGGGUUUAGAACGUCGUGAGACAGUUCGGUCCCUAUCUGCCGUGGGCGCUGGAGAACUGAGGGGGGCUGCUCCUAGUACGAGAGGACCGGAGUGGACGCAUCACUGGUGUUCGGGUUGUCAUGCCAAUGGCACUGCCCGGUAGCUAAAUGCGGAAGAGAUAAGUGCUGAAAGCAUCUAAGCACGAAACUUGCCCCGA